rnacentral:rRNA from 1 species
UACGAAGGGGGCUAGCGUUGCUCGGAAUUACUGGGCGUAAAGCGCACGUAGGCGGGUCGUUUAAGUCGGGGGUGAAAUCCUGGAGCUCAACUCCAGAACUGCCUUCGAAACUGACGAUCUUGAGUUCGGGAGAGGUGAGUGGAACUGCGAGUGUAGAGGUGAAAUUCGUAGAUAUUCGCAAGAACACCAGUGGCGAAGGCGGCUCACUGGCCCGAUACUGACGCUGAGGUGCGAAAGCGUGGGGAGCAAACAGG